rnacentral:rRNA from 1 species
GAUGAACGCUGGCGGCGUGCCUAAUACAUGCAAGUCGAGCGAACGGACGAGAAGCUUGCUUUUCUGAUGUUAGCGGCGGACGGGUGAGUAACACGUGGAUAACCUACCUAUAAGACUGGGAUAACUUCGGGAAACCGGAGCUAAUACCGGAUAAUAUUUUGAACCGCAUGGUUCAAAAGUGAAAGACGGUCUUGCUGUCACCUAUAGAUGGAUCCGCGCUGCAUUAGCUAGUUGGUAAGGUAACGGCUUACCAAGGCAACGAUGCAUAGCCGACCUGAGAGGGUGGUCGGCCACACUGUAACUGAGACACGGUCCAGACUCCUACGGGAGGCAGCAGUAGGGAAUCUUCCGCACUGGGCGAAAGCCUGACGUAGCAACGCCGCGUGAGUGAUGAAGGUCUUCGUAUCGUAAAACUCUGUUAUUAGGGAAGAACAUAUGUGUAAGUAACUGUGCACAUCUUGACGGUACCUAAUCAGAAAGCUACGGCUAACUACGUG